rnacentral:lncRNA from 1 species
AAAUUGGGCUCCACUCCUCCGGCACACCGCGGCUAUUCACCUGAGAAAGUCGAUAGAUUGAGUCAGAAAUAGAUAUGGAGCAAUCGACAACAGUUAUAGAAAUCCCAACCCUCGACUUACUCAGAAACAAACGACAACCGCUAAUCUGGCGACGGCAAACUUCAAAUUCCGGCGACGGAGAUGAAUCCCAACCAGAAGGUCGAUUCCGGUGAAACCCUAACUCUCUGUUUUCUCUAGCGACGAAGUUGUCGUUUAAUUGGCGGGAUUAGACAUCGACUUGUCUUUUCACUUUUACGGUUCGUGUUUCUCAAGGUUGCGAAAGUAGGCAACUGUUACUUAUGCAAUGAGGGUAAACUUGUCUAUAAUACAUGAAAUACAUGUAAUAUCGACG